rnacentral:rRNA from 1 species
GGGAAUAUUGCCAAUGGGCGAAAGCCUGAUGCAGCCAUGCCGCGUGUGUGAAGAAGGCCUUCGGGUUGUAAAGCACUUUCAGUCAGGAGGAAAGGGUGUGAGUUAAUACCUCAUAUCUGUGACGUUACUGACAGAAGAAGCACCGGCUAACUCCGUGCCAGCAGCCGCGGUAAUACGGAGGGUGCGAGCGUUAAUCGGAAUUACUGGGCGUAAAGCGUACGCAGGCGGUUUGUUAAGCGAGAUGUGAAAGCCCCGGGCUCAACCUGGGAACUGCAUUUCGAACUGGCAAACUAGAGUGUGAUAGAGGGUGGUAGAAUUUCAGGUGUAGCGGUGAAAUGCGUAGAGAUCUGAAGGAAUACCGAUGGCGAAGGCAGCCACCUGGGUCAACACUGACGCUCAUGUACGAAAGCGUGGGGAGCAAACGGGAUUAGAUACCCCGGUAGUCCACGCCGUAAACGAUGUCUACUAGAAGCUCGGAACCUCGGUUCUGUUUUUCAAAGCUAACGCAUUAAGUAGACCGCCUGGGGAGUACCGGCCGCAAGGUUAAAACUCAAAUGAAUUGGCNG